CAGGAAGUAGUUUAUUUAAGAAUAUUAAUUUUGGAGAUUAAAGAUAGAGGCGUCUCUCUUCCUGA
rnacentral:tRNA from 1 species